rnacentral:rRNA from 1 species
AUCAAUGACCAUAGCACCCUGAAUUACUCAAUCUUGUCUGAUCUUGGAUGACCCUAAACAGGGUCAGGACUGGUUAGUACUGGGAUUGGAGAUGACCUAGGAAUACCAGGUGCUGUAGGGU